GUGUUUCCAACAAAGGUUUCGGAUAGAUGCCAGAAGGAAUUUUAUGUGUACCCAUGGCUGGGUAAUCGAAGGAACGUGCAUCUUCUCUUGUUCUGCUAGAAGUUUUGGUGAGAUAGGAGUUGAUUCUGGAAUAGAAGUUAGAGGAGCAUCAGAAGCGAAACCUUUUUGACUGAAGGUAACAACCAGAAUCCGAAAGCAGGAUUGAUU
rnacentral:lncRNA from 1 species